GGCUUCGUAGCUCAGCUGGUAGAGCGUUCGCCGCGUUGAGGCAUGCCGUGUCUGUCGCUGGCUCGAAUCCAGCCGAAGCCC
rnacentral:tRNA from 1 species